AGCAGCCGCGGUAAUUCCAGCUCCAAUAGCGUAUAUUAAAGUUGUUGCAGUUAAAAAGCUCGUAGUUGAAUUUCGGGAUCAGCAGGUCGGUCGUGCCACUGGUAUGCACUGGCCUUGCUGAUUCCCCCCCUCUUGAUGAGCCGUAAUGCCAUUAAUUUGGUGUUGCAGGGAAUCAGGACUGUUACUUUGAAAAAAUUAGAGUGUUUAAAGCAGGCAUGCGCUUGAAUACAUUAGCAUGGAAUAAUGAAAUAGGACGUUCGAUCCUAUUUUGUUGGUUUCUAGGAUUGACGUAAUGAUUAAUAGGGAUAGUUGGGGGCAUUAGUAUUCAAUUGUCAGAGGUGAAAUUCUUGGAUUUAUUGAAGACUAACUACUGCGAAAGCAUUUGCCAAGGAUGUUUUCAUUAAUCAAGAACGAAAGUUAGGGGAUCGAAGACGAUCAGAUACCGUCGUAGUCUUAACCAUAAACUAUGCCGACUAGGGAUCGGAUGAUGUUAAUUUUUUAAUGACUCAUUCGGCGCCUU
rnacentral:rRNA from 1 species